CCUACGGGCGGCAGCAGUGGGGAAUAUUGCACAAUGGGCGCAAGCCUGAUGCAGCCAUGCCGCGUGUGUGAAGAAGGCCUUCGGGUUGUAAAGCACUUUCAGCGGGGAGGAAGGCGGUGAGGUUAAUAACCUCAUCGAUUGACGUUACCCGCAGAAGAAGCACCGGCUAACUCCGUGCCAGCAGCCGCGGUAAUACGGAGGGUGCAAGCGUUAAUCGGAAUUACUGGGCGCAAAGCGCACGCAGGCGGUCUGUCAAGUCGGAUGUGAAAUCCCCGGGCUCAACCUGGGAACUGCAUUCGAAACUGGCAGGCUAGAGUCUUGUAGAGGGGGGUAGAAUUCCAGGUGUAGCGGUGAAAUGCGUAGAGAUCUGGAGGAAUACCGGUGGCGAAGGCGGCCCCCUGGACAAAGACUGACGCUCAGGUGCGAAAGCGUGGGGAGCAAACAGGAUUAGAUACCCGAGUAGUC
rnacentral:rRNA from 1 species